rnacentral:rRNA from 1 species
UUGUCCGGAAUUAUUGGGCGUAAAGAGCUCGUAGGCGGUUUGUCGCGUCUGCUGUGAAAUCCCGAGGCUCAACCUCGGGUCUGCAGUGGGUACGGGCAGACUAGAGUGCGGUAGGGGAGAUUGGAAUUCCUGGUGUAGCGGUGGAAUGCGCAGAUAUCAGGAGGAACACCGAUGGCGAAGGCAGAUCUCUGGGCCGUAACUGACGCUGAGGAGCGAAAGGGUGGGGAGCAAACAGGCUUAGAUACCCUGGUAGUCCACCCCGUAAACGUUGGGAACUAGAUGUGGGGACCAUUCCACGGUCUCCGUGUCGCAGCUAACGCAUUAAGUUCCCCGCCUGGGGAGUACGGCCGCAAGGCUAAAACUCAAAGGA